rnacentral:rRNA from 1 species
GAUGAACGCUGGCGGCGUGCCUAAUACAUGCAAGUCGAGCGAACAGACGAGGAGCUUGCUCCUCUGACGUUAGCGGCGGACGGGUGAGUAACACGUGGAUAACCUACCUAUAAGACUGGGAUAACUUCGGGAAACCGGAGCUAAUACCGGAUAAUAUAUUGAACCGCAUGGUUCAAUAGUGAAAGACGGCUUUGCUUUCACCUAUAGAUGGAUCCGCGCGGCAUUAGCCAGUUGGUAAGGUAACGGCUUACCAAGGCAACGAUGCGUAGCCGACCUGGGAGGGUGACCGGCCACACUGGAACUGGGACACGGUCCGGACCCCUGCGGAGGGCGCCAGUAGGGAAUCUUCGGCAAUGAGCGAAAGCCUGACGGACCAACGCCGCGUGAGUGAUAAAGGUCUUCGGAUCGAAAAACUCUGUUAUUGGGGAAGAACAAAUGUGUAAGUAACGGUCCGCAUCUUGACGGUACCUAAUCAGAAAGCCACGGCUAACUACGUG